rnacentral:rRNA from 1 species
GAGGGAAGGAAAAGAAAUUAACUAAGAUUCCUUUAGUAGCGGCGAGCGAAACAGGAUAAGCCCAGCACUAAGCCCUUCGGUCGUUCUGGCCGAUAGGGGAUGCAGUGUAUGGAAAGUCUAUUAUCUUAUAUGACGAUAAUAAGUUCAAGUCCAUCUUGAAUGGGGCCUAUUUACCCAUAGAGGGUGCCAGGCCCGUAGAAGCUAUUAUCAGUAUAAGAAGAUUAUUCCAAAGAGUCGUGUUGCUUGAUAGUGCAGCGCUAAGUUGGUGGUAAACUCCAUCUAAGGCUAAAUAUAACCACGAGACCGAUAGCGAACAAGUACCGUGAGGGAAAGUUGAAAAGCACUCUGAAUAGAGAGUUAAAUAGUACGUGAAACCGCUUAGGGGUUAAACCCGAUGAACCUGAAUAUCUGAAUUGAGAAAUUCAAUACUAUUUUAGUUAUUUAUGACUUCACUAUAAAUAAUCGAUGGUAUGCACUUUUCUCAUAGUAGGACAUUGCGAUCCAUUAGUAGUCUCUUUGAGACGGUUUAUCAAAUGGCCCGUAUAGUCAGUUUAAUCUAUCUGCAAUAUUUACUAUUGUAUGGUUAAUGCUAUUGCGGUGACCUGGUAAACAGCUGAUGGAACUUUAAAAUCAUGCAACCAUGCAAAUGUGUGUAUCACGGUUUUAAUAAACUAUUAUUUUAAUGCAGUGAUCGCAUGUAUUUGAUUAGCAAUGCGAUAGAUUUGGGAUACCUUCGGGACCCGUCUUGAAACACGGACCAAGAAGUCUAACAUGUGUGUAAGUCAUUGGGUAUAUUUUGUUGAAACCUAAAGGCGUAAUUAAAAUAACUAUUUUAAUGGGAUUACAAGCAAUCUAUCAAAUGAUUGUUUCUCCAUCCCGGGGCGUUCUAUAUGAACAUGGUUUAAGCAAUUGGACCCUCUGUUCUAGAGCGUACCUUGAACAUACAU